UCUUAAAUAAGGCCUCAGUGAGUCUGUUAUAGCUGCUACUUCAAAAUGGUUUCUUUUGGAAGCUAAUACGUUGUCUCAGUAUACUGCUGCACACUUUUCCGGGUCAGUGACUCACGAUUAGUACACUCUUUCUUCACCGUCCGAAGGACGGGUACUUUGCUAGUCAUGAUAAAUGUGAAGGCCAAAAUGUCA